rnacentral:tRNA from 3 species
GCCCGGAUGGCGGAAUUGGUAGACGCGCUAGUCUCAAACACUAGUGGGAAACCGUGCCGGUUCGAUCCCGGCUCCGGGUACCG